CUCACUACCGAAACUCACCGAAGGAAACAGACGCCAGUGCUCCUCCCGGGGCUGCCACCACGGCUCCGGCAGGCGGGCCGGGGACCGGCCGAACCUGAGUUGACGGUGGAGGGGCUCGGCGGCCGCCAGCUCCUGCUCGGUGUCCAAAACAAAAUGGCCGCCACGUCCAGUGCUUGUCUGACCGGCUAAAAUGGCGUCUACGCAAUUACGUCAGGCGUCAGAUCCGCGCACGACUAGAGGGCGGGAAAGAUUUGAGCUACGCCUGCGCAGAGUUGAGAAGCUGAUGUCUCCUCGACUUCCAACUGGAACCUUGAACCCCCACAUUUCUGGACCUUGAGCAUUCCUCAAGUAGGAAGAUAUCCCAGAGGAGACAGACAUCGGAUGGCUGAUAAUCUUCCAAUGGAAAUCCAUGGUUCAAGUGCCACCUCUUCAGGAAAGCCAUCUGACUUCAAUCAGAAUCGACCACGGAAAUUUGACACCUCCGGGCUUGGAAGCAGCUCUCUCCUCCUUCCCCGCUGCUUAUAAACCUCAGCCCUGAGGCUCCAGCUCACUCUACCCCAUCUCCUUGCCGGGUCAGCCCUGACAAAGGUCAGCUAGCCCCUUGAGGACAUCAGCUUUGGCCUCAGGGUCCUAAUGGCAGCAGAACCACUGACAGAGCUAGAGGAGUCCAUUGAGACCGUGGUCACCACCUUCUUCACCUUUGCAAGGCAGGAGGGCCGGAAGGAUAGCCUCAGCGUCAACGAGUUCAAAGAGCUGGUUACCCAGCAGUUGCCC
rnacentral:lncRNA from 1 species